rnacentral:snRNA from 1 species
AUGCUCACUUUGGCAGCACAUAUGCUAAAAUUGGAAGGCUAUAGAGAAGAUUAGCAUGGUCCCGGCACAAGGAUGACAUGCAAAUUCAUGAAGCAUUCCAUAUUUAA